UGGGGAAUUUUGGACAAUGGGGGAAACCCUGAUCCAGCCAUCCCGCGUGUGCGAUGAAGGCCUUCGGGUUGUAAAGCACUUUUGGCAGGAAAGAAACGUCAUGGGUUAAUACCCCGUGAAACUGACGGUACCUGCAGAAUAAGCACCGGCUAACUACGUGCCAGCAGCCGCGGUAAUACGUAGGGUGCAAGCGUUAAUCGGAAUUACUGGGCGUAAAGCGUGCGCAGGCGGUUCGGAAAGAAAGAUGUGAAAUCCCAGAGCUCAACUUUGGAACGGCAUUUUUAACUACCGGGCUAGAGUGUGUCAGAGGGAGGUGGAAUUCCGCGUGUAGCAGUGAAAUGCGUAGAUAUGCGGAAGAAAACCGAUGGAGAAGGCAGCCUCCUGGGAUAACACUGACGCUCAUGCACGAAAGCGUGGGGAGCAAACAGG
rnacentral:rRNA from 1 species